rnacentral:rRNA from 1 species
ACGGGUGAGUAAUGCCUAGGAAUCUGCCUGGUAGUGGGGGAUAACGCUCGGAAACGGACGCUAAUACCGCAUACGUCCUACGGGAGAAAGCAGGGGACCUUCGGGCCUUGCGCUAUCAGAUGAGCCUAGGUCGGAUUAGCUAGUUGGUGGGGUAAUGGCUCACCAAGGCGACGAUCCGUAACUGGUCUGAGAGGAUGAUCAGUCACACUGGAACUGAGACACGGUCCAGACUCCUACGGGAGGCAGCAGUGGGGAAUAUUGGUCAAUGGGCGAAAGCCUGAUCCAGCCAUGCCGCGUGUGUGAAGAAGGUCUUCGGAUUGUAAAGCACUUUAAGUUGGGAGGAAGGGCAUUAACCUAAUACGUUAGUGUUUUGACGUUACCGACAGAAUAAGCACCGGCUAACUCUGUGCCAGCAGCCGCGGUAAUACAGAGGGUGCAAGCGUUAAUCGGAAUUACUGGGCGUAAAGCGCGCGUAGGUGGUUCGUUAAGUUGGAUGUGAAAUCCCCGGGCUCAACCUGGGAACUGCAUUCAAAACUGUCGAGCUAGAGUAUGGUAGAGGGUGGUGGAAUUUCCUGUGUAGCGGUGA